AGUGUGUGUGGCAGCGCUGCUCUACAGCGCCCCUGUAGUCUGGCCGCGGAACUGCGCCUCUACACACACUGACGCGAUACACACACUUUACCUGCUGCUCAUGCGCGAAUCACCGGACCACACCACCGUUAAUUACGGUUAAUCAAUCUUCAUCGACGGAUUCAUCAAUCAGUACAGAGAACGGAGUGAGGUUUGUGAUUCCCGGGGAGACGCUGAAUCGAGCGCCGGUGAUGAGGCCUGCUCUCGGGGAAGACACGGAGGAUCACGGUGUCAACGCCGCCGACGAGACGAAACAAAACCGAAUAUAGAGAAGCUGCAUCAUGAAGAAGACUGUGGUCUUUGGCAGCGAGGGACAUUAUUCCUGAAGAAGAAAUAACACACGACUGCGGAGCAAGUGACUGGCUUCAGAGAAAGUCUUGAUGUGUGAGUGAUGAAGUUAUGACAGCGGUGGAGAACUGCUCUGGACCUGUCAGAGCUACACAACUUCAGUUUGAGUCCACUAAAUCAUCCUCAGCACAGCACACUAUAUGUGAAGAUGACGGGACACUUCCAGCAGACACAGCGUUCAAAAGAAAGAAAGGAAUCGCGUUGUUAAGGAAGAGCGCAUCCACAACGGAUCCACACUACUAGAACAAAGAAGAUACCAUGGAGCAAACAGGAAAUACAUGCUGAACAAAUUAAUCCAGAACCGGAAACUGGGGGGUGUAUAGAGACUGAACCACUAGCUCUUAAAAAUAGAGAGUGUACAGCUUUUGUUUUACAUUAAAAAUGAUGCCUUGACUGUGAAACCAGGGGCAUAUCUCUGCUCUGCAAAUAAAAAGUUAAUUUAAACACAAACAAUGUUGUUGUGUUUAGGCCACAUGGUUCAAGGGUCUUUAUAAAUUUGUGAAUUCAGUUAUAGUUUAUUAUAUGUUGUCUUGCUUGUUUCAUAUGAUCCUUCUUGAUGUAAUGAUUUGUUAGUAGUUCAACAUGAACUGUAUGGCUGAUUUGAGGUUGAUCUUCAGAGACAAGUAAUUGGUGAGUCUUACUGCAUUUCCAUCCUCAGUUAUUUCAUGUAAAUGAAUGUUUACACAGGCGUUCAAGAGUCACACUGAAGUUGUUUGUUGUACUUAUUGGUGCUAAGUUUUAAGAAACUGUUCAGAAUGUGUCAUGAAGAGUUUAUGAAUUUUAGUUUUUCUUUUUACACAAAUGAGUGUUAUCUUUGAACACAGGCAUGAAAGAGUUUAUGCAAGCGUUAAUUGACUUGCUGACCUACUAAUGUAUUGAGUUUUGAGAAACUAUUUAGAUCACUUGUUUGUCAAAUGUUGAACAUCUGUAUUAAAUAGAACAUGUAGAACACACAAAACUAUAGCAUUUUUUUGUUUGGAGCUCCUAUUCACAGUAUAUUGCAUAAACAGUAUAAACUGCUUUUAAAAAUGCACAUUUAAAAUGUGUUGAGGUCUGUUUACUUCUUUGUGAUAACUUAAUACAAGUGAAAAGUGUGUGAGUCCAGUCCCCACAAUGACCGAAAACUGGUGUCGAGUGUGUGAGUCCAGUCCCCACAAUGACCGAAAACUGGUGUCGUGUGUGUGAGUCCAGUCCCCACAAUGACCGAAAACUGGUGUCGGGUGUGUGUG